UACGUAGGGCGCAAGCGUUGUCCGGAAUUAUUGGGCGUAAAGAGCUCGUAGGCGGUUUGUCACGUCGGAUGUGAAAACCCGAGGCUCAACUCCGAGCUUGCAUUCGAUACGGGCAGGCUAGAGUUCGGUAGGGGAGACUGGAAUUCCUGGUGUAGCGGUGAAAUGCGCAGAUAUCAGGAAGAACACCCGUGGCGAAGGCGACUCUCUGGUACGUGACUGACGCUGAGACGCGAAAGCGUGGGGAGCAAACAGG
rnacentral:rRNA from 1 species